AUGUGCGCGGAGGUGACGGCAGGAGGGCGUCGGCCUUUUCCAACUCGAGGAGGAGGAGGAGGGUGGUAUGGAUCCCUCCUCCCCUGUCGUCAUCACGAGAGGAGAGGGAGAACGGCCGGCUAUGGCGGCGGUCAGAUCCAUGCUGGGAACAGGAGACUGAUGCCAACGCCAUGGAGCUACUCUGUUGUUCGUCAAGGUCCGACCCAGGGCAGCCUCCCAAAGCAACUGAAGGUCGCUUGCUCCUCAUCAACAACAUACAAAGCUUGGGCUGACCGAGGACUACGGCUAUGGCCGCUUCUCUGA
rnacentral:rRNA from 1 species